rnacentral:rRNA from 1 species
UACGUAGGGGGCAAGCGUUGUCCGGAUUCAUUGGGCGUAAAGAGCGUGUAGGCGGCCAGGUAGGUCGGUUGUGAAAACUGGAGGCUCAACCUUCAGAGGUCGACCGAAACCAUCUGGCUAGAGUCCGGGAGAGGAGAGUGGAAUUCCUGGUGUAGCGGUGAAAUGCGCAGAUAUCGAGAAGAACACCCGUGGCGAAAGCGGCUCUCUGGAACGGUACUGACGCUGAGACGCGAAAGCGUGGGGAGCGAACAGG